GUGCUUGCUUAGGUAGCACAUACACUAAAAUUGGGGAAAAUACAGAGAUUAGCAUGGCCCCCUGCAAGAAUGACAUGCAAAUUCGUGGAGCGUUCCAUAUUUUU
rnacentral:snRNA from 1 species